CUCUUCCUACGCCUCUGUCACAAACCCUACUAGCGAAAAUCCAACACCUCCAACACAAAUCAGUUUUCUUCGUUGCGAUUCCUACACUUCCAUCACAAAUCAGUUUUCUUCAUUGUGAUUAGUGGAAACACUCAAGAUUCCAACGAUUCGGCUUAGUAUUGUUUGUUCGGUCACAAUCUAGACCAGAAACCCUAAUUUCAUGGCGAUGCGGUUUACGAACAAACAGAUCUGUGGAUAGAAUGCCCUAGCCGCCACCUCCAGCAGUCAAGGCUAGGGUUUCGACAAGUUGAUCCUGAGCAAGUCCAGUUUUGAUGGUUGUUUUUUUUUUUCAAAAAGGAUGAACCAUGGCAAGCCUCUUGGUGCAGUUCCCACACGUCUGAACGACCUUGCAACUUUAGUUGUCGGGACACACGUACCAAAGUUUCGCAACCUUCAUCGCCAACACAGUAUUUGAAGCCACUGAUAACAGUACCAUAGCAUCAACGACAGUGAUUUACAAAAGGUGUUGUGACCCGUUUUCAACCUGAAUCCAUAUUGGCCCUUAAUGAUCCACAGUUAGUUGUUAUCGCAUAUUUCUCGAGCUAAGCUGACCUUUAAACAUAUCGGGGUUUUCGUCAGCCAAAAAACUUUAGCAUUUAGUGGUAGCGCGUGGCUACGGUUGUGCGGUGGCUGAAUCGGGUGGUGAUCGGCGGUUGAUUUAUAGCCGUGAAUGGUGACGUAUAGCUGCCAUUCUGGUCAGUUUUGGGCUGAAGCCUUGAAUACAUUUCGCUUAACGGGUCGUGCCUUGACCAGGUUCAUGUGCGGACACAAGUGAGAAAGAUGCAAUAUUUAACUAUAGGAGGAAGUAUCUACCCACUCAGCAGGUACCUUCUUUGCCAUCUUACAGUUAUAUGAUGAGUUUUUUUUUUCCUUAUGUUUGUAAUAUCACAGAGUGAAUGCCAACAACAAAUAUGGAUGAUGAAGUGUCUUCCAAAUACAAUGUAGAGUACAUUGCUAGAGGUGCUAACUCAGAAUUCAAUUCGAGUAGCGCAGUGGUUACUUCAAAUCCCGGGCGCAACAUGCUAUAUGGGUUGUAUUGACAAGGACAACUAUGGGCUACAAAGGAACACUACACAUUGCCACUGUCGUGCUCUGCCGCCGAUAUCCAUUGAUUUGAACACGCUUCGUUUCUCCAUUGAGUUCAAAAGUUUCGAUCCCUCUGAGGUCAAUGCAACCAGUUCCAGGUGACUCUUGUCUGGUUGCAACGGAAAAUGGAUUCACGGUCGCUGCAUUGUGAUUAUCUCCGCCAGUCCGACGGAUGACGGCCAUAAUUUAACCUAGGGUGGGUGAUCAAAGUGAAUCUAGCCGCAUCAAGCCGCCGUGGUUACGCGAUCUGGAGACGGGUAGGAUUUAAUCCGAGUUUUCGCAUCGCUUGAGGGUGUUAAUGGCGCCAACGGUCGAGAAACGUAUGAUAGCAGUUUCGUCUGAGAAGCAACUGCUGCUGAUAAUAAAAAUUAUGUGGUUACGAAUUCCAAUUCUUCAUCGAAGGUGGAGGUUAUUUGGUCUUAUCUUCCAGAUAUGAUAUCAAGGUGAACAAUCACAUCCUUGCUGAAGAUAAGCAUUUGCCUAUGGAUGAUGACGUGUCUUCCAAAUACAAUGUAGAGUCUAAUAUGGUGCUGUCGGUAAGUCAAAACAUGUUCAGGUUGAAGCAAGUCAUUUUUAGGAUGGUUCAAAAUCGGACGCUUUUAGUACAGAUAAGAGGCGUUCAUAUUUAUUAUUUUAACUUAUUUUUGGGCCUUAUCUAAAUCUUUUGUAGUUGGGAUACAUUCCCUUUGUCCCAAAACUAUUGUCCAUCAAAAAAAAGGACAAUUUAAUAUAUGUAAAAUUAAUAUAAUCAGCUAGACGUAUGUCAAGUUUACCCUUUAAUUCCAUAUGAUACCAAUUGACAAUAGCUGAGACCCGAGGUAAACAAAGCUUUGAAGACUGCCUAUACUGGCAAACUCAUUGGUUCUUGUCUAGAGGCUAAGGUGUACCUUCAACAUUCUGAUGAUGAUAAGCUUGCUAAGAGAUUAAGGAAUAUGUGUGAAGCUAAAAUUGAUGACGACUCAGUGCAUUGCAUAUUCAUAAUAUCUCGGGUAUUAACAUCUAUGUCUUUUAUAAUUUUUUUAGUUUUUUAAUCUAUAUUUUAUUAAAAACCAAAUCGGCCCUGAUGCUAAUAGUUGUAUAUGUGUUUAUAAAUCUUACAUCUUAUGAAUGGGUGCUGGCGAAUUGCCUUUAAAAACAAUAACGUUGGUGAGUUCCACUCAUUUGCAUAUGAAUGGGUCAAUUUGGAUGAUGUUGUAUCUCAAACUGGUCAGAUUAAAAUAUAUAACUAAUAAAGAGAGAAUGGGUCGAUCUUCAACAUAUUAUGUGUUUAUAAAGAGUUUAAAAGAUUGGAUAAAGGUGGGUUGCAAGUCAACCAAGCCCAUUUUAACCCACACUAAAAUUUACCCAUUGAACACCAAUAACCCAACCUUUUCGACACAUCCAUUUUGCAACUUAUAAUUUUUUUUAUUUGUAGUCUGUUUAACAAACUCUCUCUAAAAGAAUAAUUAAUUCAGGGCCAUUAUUGUUUUGGGUUAACCAGAAGCCUUUCUGACUUGAACAUCGGUUAGUCAGUUUCCCAACCUAUAUGCCUCGCCCCUGUUUACGACUAAUAAUCUUUUCUAUUUGUCAUUCAUUUCCUAUUUCUCUUUGAAAAAAGGUGGUUUCGUUUAUGUUCAUAAGUCUGAUUGACAAAUAUUGUACAACUGGGUGUGUAAACCUUCAAUUCCGGGUAUUGCCUACCAAAAGUAACUCAAACGUGGACUUUAAUUGAUUUGCGAGAGUGCAUUCUCACACUAGGUGCAUAAACCACAUUAGUAGGAUGUCUUGAUGUUGGAUGGAUGAAGGAUAAUGUUGUAAGACGCAUCCGUAGGUUUUCUUGGGGUAUAUAAGUCACCAUUGUCGUGCUCUUAAUUAAUAAUAAACUUGUGUUCUCUGUUAUUGCAUGGAGUAGCGAAUAGCAAAUUCACCAUUGAUUGUUUAAAAAUUUAGCAAGUGGGCUGUUGUGUAGUAAAAAAAAGCACAUGAGUAUGAGUAUGUUGUAAUGAUCCUCAGUAUUGUUUAUCGUUUUUGAAAAGGAAAAAAGACAACCAAAAGAAUAUAUAUACACAAGUUGGUAGGAUGUUACACUUUUAAGAUGAAAAAGAUCAUUGAAGCCUUCCUUUACAAAAAGCCUUCCUUGGUACAACUCAGUCAAUAUUCGUACGAUUUCCAUGCUAUUUAUUGGGUCUGGAGAUCGGGACAAACAACACCUGUCUUUGCAUACUAUGUAAUGGAACAUGGCACCAUGGAAGAAAAGAUUUAUAAGCGUCAGGUAAAUCCUAUCUAUGUAGAGUUUUUAAUAUCAACCCAUUCACAUAUGAAAAUUGAAUUGGUUGUUUCAGGUUAUGCUGUAUCGUUUACGGGUCAAAUAUGUAAAUAAAAACAAUUAGCUUAAGGGGAGAAAUUUGCUUGAAGUGUAUUUCAAAUACAUCAAACAACCUAUUCAUGUUAACGAAGUUCUAGAUAUUGAAUAUGAUGAUUUUAAAUAUAUCCAUUUAAACAAUUAUCCUUUUAAGUUUUGAUACUGGGAGUUUUAAUAAAAUAAGAAUGAUUUUGAAUUUAAUAGUAGGAAGCCAAAAGGAUUAAAGGCCAUCAAGCUAACUCAUUAGGUUUGGGUAUUAUAUUAUAAACAUCUUAGAUGGGCCCUUACCAUGAGAUUAAAAGUAUUAUAUUAUGAAUAUAUGGGUCAUGACAGGUAACCUUUUGGUACACGUUAGGUUGACAUGAAAAAUUUUGUGUCCAUAUUUGUAUAUUAUUUUUCACUAUUACUUUUUUAUAAUAUUAAUCUUUUGACUUUUCGAAGUCUAAUCCUUAUCUUUUUUUAGAAAGGCAAAAUAUGAGGGUAUCUGUAUGCAUACUUAUGUCCAACUAAACAUAUAUAUUGAUUUGACACAUUAAUUUAUAAGUUGAAGACUUGAGUGGAUGCAAGAUGGAUUGAGACAAAUAAUUCUGGAUCAAGGAACAAAUUGAUAAAGAAAGAGGUAAGGUUUUGACCUUUUAGCAUACAUGUCAUCUAAAGUGGUUGGGUUCCAAGCAUCAGUUCAACUCGGGUCUCUCAAUGAUGUGGAAGGCAAGUAAUAAAUGUGCUAUCCUCAAGUCUUAAUUUCAAGAUUAGCCGGCAUGUCUGUUAAUGAUGCAUACAUGUAUAUGUGUAAUCUUUUUAGCCACUUAAGAUCUCAACUAUUUUUGCAUGAUCUCUUAUUUUUUGUUUACUUAAUAGUUUAUUACUGUAA